CAGUCGCCACGGGAAUACGAAGGGUGCAAGCGUUACUCGGAAUUACUGGGCGUAAAGCGUGCGUAGGUGGUGGUUUAAGUCCGUUGUGAAAGCCCUGGGCUCAACCUGGGAAUUGCAGUGGAUACUGGGUCACUAGAGUGUGGUAGAGGAUAGUGGAAUUUCCGGUGUAGCAGUGAAAUGCGUAGAGAUCGGAAGGAACAUCUGUGGCGAAGGCGACUAUCUGGGCCAACACUGACACUGAGGCACGAAAGCGUGGGGAGCAAACAGGAUUAGAUACCCGUGUAGUCCCUGUCUCUUAUAA
rnacentral:rRNA from 1 species